rnacentral:rRNA from 1 species
AAUAGAUACCCUGUAGUCCACGCCGUAAACGAUGAGUGCUAGGUGUUGGGGGGGUCCACCCCUCGGUGCCGAAGUUAACACAUUAAGCACUCCGCCUGGGGAGUACGGUCGCAAGACUGAAACUCAAAGGAAUUGACGGGGACCCGCACAAGCAGUGGAGUAUGUGGUUUAAUUCGAAGCAACGCGAAGAACCUUACCAGGUCUUGACAUCCCUCUGAAUCCUCUAGAGAUAGAGGCGGCCUUCGGGACAGAGGAGACAGGUGGUGCAUGGUUGUCGUCAGCUCGUGUCGUGAGAUGUUGGGUUAAGUCCCGCAACGAGCGCAACCCUUGAAUUUAGUUGCCAGCACGUUAAGGUGGGCACUCUAGAUUGACUGCCGGUGACAAACCGGAGGAAGGCGGGGAUGACGUCAAAUCAUCAUGCCCCUUAUGACCUGGGCUACACACGUACUACAAUGGCCGGUACAACGGGCAGCGAAGGAGCGAUCCGGAGCCAAUCCUACCAAAGCCGGUCUCAGUUCGGAUUGCAGGCUGC